rnacentral:tRNA from 4 species
GCCGGUGUAGCUCAAUUGGUAGAGCAACUGACUUGUAAUCAGUAGGUUGAGGGUUCAAUUCCUUUCGCCGGCACCA